GUUGCUUCGGCGGGAACAGACGGCCCUGUAACAACGGGCCGCCCCCGCCAGAGGACCCCUAACUCUGUUUUUAUAAUGUUUUUCUGAGUAAACAAGCAAAUAAAUUAAAACUUUCAACAACGGAUCUCUUGGCUCUGGCAUCGAUGAAGAACGCAGCGAAAUGCGAUAAGUAAUGUGAAUUGCAGAAUUCAGUGAAUCAUCGAAUCUUUGAACGCACAUUGCGCCCGCCAGUAUUCUGGCGGGCAUGCCUGUUCGAGCGUCAUUACAACCCUCAGGCCCCCGGGCCUGGCGUUGGGGAUCGGCGGAAGCCCCCUGUGGGCACACGCCGUCCCUCAAAUACAGUGGCGGUCCCGCCGCAGCUUCCAUUGCGUAGUAGCUAACACCUCGCAACUGGAGAGCGGCGCGGCCAUGCCGUAAAACACCCAACUUCUGAAUGUUGACCUCGAAUCAGGUAGGAAUACCCGCUGAACUUAAGCAUAUC
rnacentral:rRNA from 1 species